rnacentral:RNase_P_RNA from 1 species
CGAGUCAAUCGGGCAGUCGCGGCGCAAGUCGAGGAAAGUCCGGACUCCACAGGGCGCGAUGGUGGGUAACGCCCACCCGGGGUGACCCGCGGGCAAGUGCAACAGAGAGCAGACCGCCGAUUCGUCGGUAAGGGUGAAAGGGUGGUGUAAGAGACCACCGGCGGUCAUGGUGACAUGGCCGGCCAGGUAAACCCCAUCGGGAGCAAGGCCAAGAGGGAACAAGGUUCCUGCGCGAACACAGGCGGCCCGUCCGGUUCGCGGGUAGGCCGCAUCAGGCUCACAGCAAUGUGGGUCGCAGAUGGAUGACUGCCACACCGCAAGGUGAUACAGAAUCCGGCUUACAGAUCGGCUCGUCCA